ensembl:lncRNA
GAGAAUAAAAGAGGGUCCAAUAACCACAACGCUGGAAGCUGAUCCUUCACCACAACCACGGCAACGGGAGAGGCUUAUCUCUCACCACGACAGACUUGAGGGGUUCUCUGCCAACUGAUCUCUCACCGCAACGUGUAGACGGAUCUCUACGUGGAGACUGAUCUCUCACCACGACACGAGCUUCCUGCCUUCCGAUCCUCCUCUACGGACCGUUUGCUGACGGACUUCCCUGGGCCUGCUACCUGAGACCUGCUGCUUCCUCCCUGGCCUGCAUCCUCUCGCUGCCCCAGACCGGCCUCGCUGCUCCUGCCCUUCGGCCUCGGACCGUCGGAACGUCGUGCAACGGGACUGCUGCCGGAUCCUGGUGCUUAAUAUGAAAUCUUCAAGCUUCCACUGGGUAGCAUCUCUUCAUUUAUGUGUGUCCACUGCACCACUCAGCUUGGUGUCAUAUGCAGACUUGCUGGGAGUACACUUGAUC